GCAGUAGCCGCGGUAAUACGUAGGGUGCAAGCGUUAAUCGGAAUUACUGGGCGUAAAGCGUGCGCAGGCGGUUUGUUAAGACAGAUGUGAAAUCCCCGGGCUCAACCUGGGAACUGCAUUUGUGACUGGCAAGCUAGAGUGUGGCAGAGGGGGGUGGAAUUCCGCGUGUAGCAGUGAAAUGCGUAGAUAUGCGGAGGAACACCGAUGGCGAAGGCAGCCCCCUGGGCCAACACUGACGCUCAUGCACGAAAGCGUGGGGAGCAAACAGGAUUAGAUACCCCUGUAGUCCCUGUCUCUUAUAA
rnacentral:rRNA from 1 species